rnacentral:tRNA from 2 species
GCGGGGGUGCCCGAGAGGUCAAAGGGGUCGGGUUGAGGUCCCGAUGGAUUAGGUCCGUCCGGGGUUCGAAUCCCCGCCCCCGCA